rnacentral:rRNA from 1 species
GCGGAGGAUCCGAGCGUUAUCCGGAUUUAUUGGGUUUAAAGGGUGCGUAGGCGGGUUAUUAAGUCAGUGGUGAAAGUUUGACGCUCAACGUUAAAAUUGCCAUUGAUACUGAUAGUCUUGAGUACAGUUGAGGUAGGCGGAAUGUGGUGUGUAGCGGUGAAAUGCAUAGAUAUACCACAGAACACCGAUUGCGAAGGCAGCUUACUAAAGUGUCACUGACGCUGAUGCACGAAAGUGUGGGGAUCAAACAG